UACGAGGGGUGCUUGGACAGGUGUUCAGGCUGAGAUUAUACCCAUGGAACCUGAUACGGGUAAUGCCGACGCAGGGAUGAGUCUU
rnacentral:ncRNA from 1 species